GGACGGUUAGCUCAGUUGGUUAGAGCGCUACGUUGACAUCGUAGAGGUCACCAGUUCGAAUCUGGUACCAUCCACAA
rnacentral:tRNA from 1 species